rnacentral:rRNA from 1 species
UACGUAGGGGGCUAGCGUUGUCCGGAAUCAUUGGGCGUAAAGCGCGUGUAGGCGGCCCGGUAAGUCCGCUGUGAAAGUCGGGGGCUCAACCCUCGAAAGCCGGUGGAUACUGUCGGGCUCGAGUGCGGAAGAGGCGAGUGGAAUUCCUGGUGUAGCGGUGGAAUGCGCAGAUAUCAGGAGGAACACCAAUAGCGAAGGCAGCUCGCUGGGACGGUACUGACGCUAAGGCGCGAAAGCGUGGGGAGCGAACAGG